rnacentral:lncRNA from 1 species
GUCCAGCCUAGUGCACUCUGUUUUGGUGCGUGUGACCUGGAACGUGCUUCACUUUGUUUUCGUCCGGUAUUGAACGCAGUUUAUCCCGUCUUUAAUUUGAUCUAUUAUUUACCUUUUAAAAUAUCUAAAGUUGGAUUAGGAAAGUUGCUUGAAAUGUUUGGACAAAGUUUACAGGGUCCGGUGUGAACCCCUGGGUGCCCACCACAUGGCCAAGGGGCCCCACAAGGUUGAGUCCUUAGUCCCCUCCUGUAUUUCCUGUAUACCCACAACUGUGUGACCUCCGACUCCGUCAUCAAGUUCGCUGACGACACAACAGCAGUAGCCCUGAUUACCAACACUGAUGAGACAACCUACAGGGAGGAGGUAGGCACUCUGACGGCGUGGUGCCAGGUGAACAACCUCUCCCUCAAUGUUAACAAAACAAAGGACCUGAUUGUGGAAUACAGGAGGAACCAGGCUGGAUACGUCCCCAUCCUCAUCAACAGGGCUGCUGUGGAAAUGGUCAAUAACUUUAAAUUCCUCUGCAUAUACAUCUCGGAGAAGCUCAAAUGGUCUAACCACACAGACACCGUGAGGAAGAAGGCACAACAGCGACUCUUCAACCUCAGGAUACUUUAGAAAUUAGGCCUGUCCCCGAGGGCCCUCACAGUGUUCUACAGGAGCACCAUCGAGAG